GUUCCCUUGACCACUUCAUGAGGGCUUAAUUACUUCAUUUUUGAUGUCCUGCUGAAGUGUUUGGGGGAACUC
rnacentral:pre_miRNA from 1 species